UGAGACUGAAUGAGUGAUUAAGAUACUAUACAAGAACCUGUGACGGUAUGUAUGAGAUACAGUUCAGGAGAAGGUAACAGGAACUGCAGAUUGGUCACUGUUGGACACACUGAUGCUGAGCAAGACAGAGUGAACAGAACCACAUGUGAGAGACUAUGUGGGCAGGAAAGUAGUGGUGAAGAUCAUCAGGGACCACAUGUAGGUGAGAAACCUCACUGUAUGUAAACAGGCGACUUGAUGUUUGAGAAAUGGCUUUUAUAUGAAACUCUGUGAGGUCCAAGUGACAGCUAAAGCUGUAGGAGUGCACACACAAGAAGUUGAUUGUGUGAGAGAGUAGCUGUGAAGCCAAGAGGCCAGAAACCCAAGGUAGGAGAAUGUGUGUGUGAAAAUGUUUCAUAGAGACUGUGGUCAAGACAGAAACAGAGGGUGGUGGUUUCCAGGAUCAUCUGAGAGGCUGUAAUUGUGCGCAUGUGUGUGUGAACCUAAGACUGGUGGCAGCUGGUUUACAAUUAAGGCUGCAGCCUCUCCACAGGUUCUGGUGAGACUGAAGGACUGCAGUGAUACCAGAAACCACAAAACUGUCUGAGAGAAAAGAGAAACUGUGUGAGAGACCAGCAAUAGCAAACACUGGAAGCCAGCGACUGUGGGAGAAAAACCUGACAACUGAGCAGUGUCUGAGAGUGUGUGAGUCUAUGAAAUAUGUCAUAAAACUAAAUAAGAGACUGCAUGUUUGUGUAAAAGCUGAGAAGUUGACACCAAGCCAAUGAAACUA
rnacentral:lncRNA from 1 species